rnacentral:rRNA from 1 species
AUACCGGCGGCUCGAGUGGUGGCCACUUUUAUUGGGCCUAAAGCGUCCGUAGCCGGAUAGGCAAGUCUUUGGGUAAAUCCUACGUCUUAAGCGUGGGAAUUCUAAAGAUACUACCUGUCUUGAGGCCGGGAGAGGCUAGAGGUACUCCUGGGGUAGGGGUAAAAUCCUAUAAUCCUGGGGGGACCACCGAUGGCGAAGGCAUCUAGCUGGAACGGGCCUGACGGUGAGGGACGAAACCCAGGGGAGCGAGCCGGAUUAGAUACCCGGGUAGUCCUGGGCGUAAAUGAUGUGGGCUUGGUGUGAGCGCAUCGACGAGGUGCGUUUGUGCCGUAGGGAAGCCGUUAAGCCCACCGCCUGGGGAGUACGGUCGCAAGGCUGAA